GAUGACCUGUGGCUGGGGGUGAAAGGCCAAUCAAACCGGGAGAUAGCUGGUUCUCCCCGAAAGCUAUUUAGGUAGCGCCUCGUGAAUUCAUCUCCGGGGGUAGAGCACUGUUUCGGCUAGGGGGCCAUCCCGGCUUACCAACCCGAUGCAAACUGCGAAUACCGGAGAAUGUUAUCACGGGAGACACACGGCGGGUGCUAACGUCCGUCGUGAAGAGGGAAACAACCCAGACCGCCAGCUAAGGUCCCAAAGUCAUGGUUAAGUGGGAAACGAUGUGGGAAGGCCCAGACAGCCAGGAUGUUGGCUUAGAAGCAGCCAUCAUUAAAGAAAGCGUAAUAGCUCACUGGUCGAGUCGGCCUGCGCGGAAGAUGUAACGGGGCUAAACCAUGCACCGAAGCUGCGGCAGCGACGCUUAUGCGUUGUUGGGUAGGGGAGCGUUCUGUAAGCCUGCGAAGGUGGCCUGUGAGGGUUGCUGGAGGUAUCAGAAGUGCGAAUGCUGACAUAAGUAACGAUAAAGCGG
rnacentral:rRNA from 1 species